rnacentral:rRNA from 1 species
UUUUAUGGAGAGUUUGAUCCUGGCUCAGAGUGAACGCUGGCGGCGUGCCUAAUACAUGCAAGUCGAACGAUGAAGCUUCUAGCUUGCUAGAAGUGGAUUAGUGGCGCACGGGUGAGUAAGGUAUAGUUAAUCUGCCCUACACAAGAGGACAACAGUUGGAAACGACUGCUAAUACUCUAUACUCCUGCUUAACACAAGUUGAGUAGGGAAAGUUUUUCGGUGUAGGAUGAGACUAUAUAGUAUCAGCUAGUUGGUGAGGUAAUGGCC